UACGUAGGGUGCGAGCGUUGUCCGGAAUUAUUGGGCGUAAAGGGCUCGUAGGCGGUCUGUCGCGUCGGCUGUGAAAUCCCGAGGCUCAACCUCGGGUCUGCAGUCGAUACGGGCAAACUAGAGUAUUGCAGGGGAGACUGGAAUUCCUGGUGUAGCGGUGAAAUGCGCAGAUAUCAGGAGGAACACCGGUGGCGAAGGCGGGUCUCUGGGCAGUAACUGACGCUGAGGAGCGAAAGCGUGGGGAGCGGACAGG
rnacentral:rRNA from 1 species